rfam:Beta vulgaris subsp. vulgaris Bvchr6.sca028.con0023.1, whole genome shotgun sequence.
AGCCAUGUAGUGAGCGCAGAGCGAACUAUUCUUUCGCCUUUUACUAAAGAAUACCGUGUGCUCGCUGCAUCUAGUGGCAUACGUUUAUAUUUGGAGGGAGUUCCUAUAGGACUUCC